CACGGGGGGAGCAAGCGUUGUUCGGAAUCACUGGGCGUAAAGGGCGUGUAGGCGGUCAAGUAAGUGGAAUGUGAAAUGCCCCGGCUCACCCGGGGACCUGCAUCCCAAACUGCUUGGCUUGAGUAUGGGAGAGGAUGAGGGAAUUCCUGGCGUAGCGGUGAAAUGCGUAGAUAUCAGGAGGAACACCGGUGGCGAAGGCGCUCAUCUGGCCCAAUACUGACGCUGAGGCGCGAAAGCUAGGGGAGCAAACGGG
rnacentral:rRNA from 1 species